rnacentral:rRNA from 1 species
CCUACGGGAGGCAGCAGUGGGGAAUAUUGGACAAUGGGCGAAAGCCUGAUCCAGCCAUGCCGCGUGUGUGAAGAAGGCCUUCGGGUUGUAAAGCACUUUCAGUGGGGAAGAAAGCCAUGGGGCUAAUACCCUCGAGGAAGGACAUCACCCACAGAAGAAGCACCGGCUAACUCCGUGCCAGCAGCCGCGGUAAUACGGAGGGUGCGAGCGUUAAUCGGAAUUACUGGGCGUAAAGCGCGCGUAGGCGGUCUGAUAAGCCGGUUGUGAAAGCCCCGGGCUCAACCUGGGAACGGCAUCCGGAACUGUCAGGCUAGAGUGCAGGAGAGGAAGGUAGAAUUCCCGGUGUAGCGGUGAAAUGCGUAGAGAUCGGGAGGAAUACCAGUGGCGAAGGCGGCCUUCUGGACUGACACUGACGCUGAGGUGCGAAAGCGUGGGUAGCAAACAGGAUUAGAUACCCCUGUAGUC